GAUGAACGCUGGCGGCGUGCCUAAUACAUGCAAGUCGAGCGAACAGACGAGGAGCUUGCUCCUCUGACGUUAGCGUCGGACGGGUGAGUAACACGUGGAUAACCUACCUAUAAGACUGGGAUAACUUCGGGAAACCGGAGAUAAUACCGGAUAAUAUAUUGAACCGCAUGGUUCAGUAGUGAAAGACGGUUUUGCUGUCACUUAUAGAUGGAUCCGCGCCGCAUUAGCUAGUUGGUAAGGUAACGGCUUACCAAGGCAACGAUGCGUAGCCGACCUGAGAGGGUGAGCGGCCACACUGGAACUGAGACACGGUCCAGACUCCUACGGGAGGCAGCAGUAGGGAAUCUUCCGCAAUGGGCGAAAGCCUGACGGAGCAACGCCGCGUGAGUGAUGAAGGUCUUCGGAUCGUAAAACUCUGUUAUUAGGGAAGAACAAAUGUGUAAGUAACUAUGCACGUCUUGACGGUACCUAAACAGAAAGCCACGGCUAACUACGUG
rnacentral:rRNA from 1 species